GCCCUGGUGGCACAGUGGUUAAAUGCAUGUACUGCAGCCAACCGUAAGGUUGCAAGUUCAAUACCAGCCAAGGGCU
rnacentral:tRNA from 1 species